UAAGCAAGAACAUCAGCUUGAUGAAACAGAAGGAAAAAAAUAGCAGUAUACUCAUAGACACUGAGAAGGGACUAGCAGUUACCAAAGGGGAAGGGUUGGGAGGGGCUGAGGGAGAAGGGUAUAAAGGGGCACAGUACUUCGCAAUCACAAUAUAGGUUGGUCACGGGGACAGUAGCACAGCACGGAGAAUACAGUUAAUGACUCUGCAACAUCUUAUUACGCUGAUGGACGGUGACCGCACUGGAGGGGGUGAGGACUCAAUAGUACGGGUGAAUGUUGAACCACUGUGUUGUGUAUUUGAAACCAUCAUAAGAUUGUAUAUCAAUGACACUUUAAUUAUAAAAAAACUAUAGUGGUAAACUGAGUUUAGGCUUGAUCUUUCUUGUGGAGUGUAGAUGAAAAAAAAAGGAAAGAAAAAAAAUGACAUCAGCUGAACAGAUUGAAAGUGCCCCAUUUGGCCAUUUCACAGUGAGAUCUCCUUUAGAAAUUCUCCCAGGUAGGGAGCCACUCGCAAGUCUAAGCCCUUAGGUUUCAUAUAUAAACCCUGCAGGUCUCCUUGCCGGAGGUUGGCAGUUCAGUGUCCUGAGACUUUUUGUUUCAGAAGACUGGUUUCCCAUUUUCGGCUCAGCAAAACAAAACGUAUCUUGGGUCAGAACGUGUAGUGAUUUUCUGGGUGUCACUUUCCCCAAGGCCAUGAGACACUCUCUUCAAUGUCUUGCUUUCUCCGCGGGCAGUCUAGAACUACCACUGGGCUCCGAACCCCGGAUGAUGACUAGUCCUUACGUGUGCAUCUCUGGAUAAGCCGUAGUUACUUCUCCAUGAGUGGAAUUCCCUAUGGGAUCACUGCAUGUCCAGAGGAGCAGACCUCUGACACUUCCACCGGGAAUGGCAGCGGGAGCCAUUCGGUGACAGUGAGCACUGGCACUCAUUCACAUUUGGGUGAAUUUGUGACGUAAGCAAAAGUAUGAAGAGGGAUCAAGGAAGGCUGCUUUAGGAGCUGAUUCAGUUGGGAGAAUCUCAUCCAAAUCUGUAUCUACUGGAUGGAAGAGGCUGAGGAGCAGAGUGGGAGGACCAAGAAAAGUAAAAUAGAGGCACAGAAAUGAAGGGCAGUGGCUAUUGCUGCUUGUCAUAAAUAUUCUAUAUAGGACGUGCUUCCCUCUCUCUUCCCCAUGACCCACCCACAGAUUUGCCAUUACCAUGGAAGUUACCCUGGCCACUGGAAUGUGAGCAGAGGUGAUGAGUCACUUGCAGGUGGAAGCCUUUAAGAACUAGAGUCCAAUUUGCCACACAUCCCCUUUUCCUGCAUCCAUCAGCCUUUUUCUCUAAGUGACCAACGAGCAGGGCUCCCAGCCAACCCAUGUUGGUUGUGAGUGAGCAAUAAACCUUAAUUGUUUGAAUCACUGA